ensembl:misc_RNA 7SK 7SK RNA
GAAUUCGGGUGGUGAUAUGAGGGUAAUCUGGCUGUCCCGUUGAUCACCAGGGUUGAUUUCACUGAUCUGGCUAGCUAGGUGGGUGUUCCUUUCGUCAGUCGCUUCUUCAUGUGUGUCCUUCCUGAACAGAGACCUUCCCUGAAUAAAAACAGAUUGGUAUUCUGUCGAGGGUAUACAUGUAGCUGAACUCCCCUGCUAGAACCUCCAAACAAGACCAGAAAGGGGAGGGGAAGAGGAACCUCCCCCAAGGCCACCUUUUUAAAAAUUUUAUUU